rnacentral:rRNA from 1 species
GACGAACGCUGGCGGCGUGCUUAACACAUGCAAGUCGAACGGAAAGGCCUUGCUUUUGUGGGGUGCUCGAGUGGCGAACGGGUGAGUAACACGUGAGUAACCUGCCCUUGACUUUGGGAUAACUUCAGGAAACUGGGGCUAAUACCGGUUAGGAGCUCCUGCUGCAUGGUGGGGGUUGGAAAGUUUCGGCGGUUGGGGUUGGACUCGCGGCUUAUCAGCUUGUUGGUGGGGUAGUGGCUUACCAAGGCUUUGACGGGUAGCCGGCCUGAGAGGGUGGCCGGCCACAUUGGGACUGAGAUACGGCGCAGACUCCGACGGGAGGCAGCAGUGGGGAAUGUUGCACAGUGGGCGGAAGCCUGAUGCAGCAACGCCGGGUGCGGGAUGACGGCCUUCUGGUUGUAAACCGCUUUCGCCUGUGACGAAGCGUGAGUGACGGUAAUGGGUAAAGAAGCACCGGCUAACUACGUG